rnacentral:rRNA from 1 species
AUUGAACGCUGGCGGCAGGCCUAACACAUGCAAGUCGAGCGUGAAAGUCCUUCGGGAUGAGUAAAGCGGCGGACGGGUGAGUAACGCGUAGGAAUCUACCUAAUAGUGGGGGAUAACGUUUCGAAAGGAACGCUAAUACCGCAUACGUUCUGAGGAAGAAAGCAGGGGCUCGCAAGACCUUGCGCUAUUAGAUGAGCCUGCGUCCGAUUAGCUAGUUGGUGGGGUAAAGGCCUACCAAGGCGACGAUCGGUAACUGGUCUGAGAGGAUGAUCAGUCACACUGGAACUGAGACACGGUCCAGACUCCUACGGGAGGCAGCAGUGGGGAAUAUUGGACAAUGGGGGCAACCCUGAUCCAGCCAUGCCGCGUGUGUGAAGAAAGGCCUUCGGGUUGUUAAAGACAC